UUGGAAACGGAACGCGAUAACGUGUCCGGUGUUUCGGGGUCCUUGAAAUUUUCUUGGCGAACGAACCCUUUCUUCGCGUGGACUGCAAAGUGAACGCCGGUCCCACGACCGACGAGAAAUCGACACUCGCAUCGGUUACGUUUCGAGGGUGCGAUCUCCCCUCGAAAAGUUUUCGAGAGGAGAGGCGUGCAAUGGUCGAGAGCCUCCUUGACGAGGAAACGGGAAGGAAGCAAAGAUCAAACGUUCAAACUUUCUUCUCCCUUCUUUAUUCUCCCGAUCCAGCCCCGAGAGGCAAGUAGCAACGACUUUUAAAACGCAAUUUAAAACGCCGUUGCUGCCGCUUUUGUGAAAAUAAUCAAGCACUCUCCGUGCCCCAGUGUCCCAGGUGAUUCGAUCGGUUCCUCGGAACUUUUUAAACCGGCGUCCGGUUUACAGGGAGGGGGAGGAGGAAAGGGAUUUUCCAAGGCAAGGGAAAGCGGCGCGAUCGGGCGGGAGUUUAAAUUAGAUUUCGUACUUCCGAGACGCUACAAGAACCUUAAAAGAGGAGUUCACCGUCUUUCCCGAUCAAUCGGUCGGUUCUAUCGAUUCUAGGCGACGAGGAAUCGUCGUACGUGAUCGACAGCCGCAUAACACGGAACGCUUGAUCCGUCGAUACUCACUGCUUUACCGAUCGAUCUAUAUCGUGGAAAU